rfam:Papio anubis isolate 1X1155 chromosome 19, whole genome shotgun sequence.
UCUCAUGCAGUCAUUCUCCAAUAGGAAGCACCUUCUGUGGUCUGAAAGCAAGCAGAGGGCCUCCUUUUGGAGCUUUACUGUUUGAGA